CCAGGGACCGACCCACCCCCGGUCUCGGAAGAGGCGCCUCCGGGACUCCCCCGAGGGGAGGGGGCGGGGAGCACAGCCGGCAACGAGACCCGGGUCCCCUCCAGCACCCCCCAGAGGCCCGAGGGAGCCGGGUCCCCGGGCCCGGGGCGUGACCAUCGGGAGGCAGCCGCGAGGGCCCCUCCCGCUUCCCGCCUGGGGCCCCGAGGGCCUGUCCCUUCAGGGGCGGGGAGAAGGGGGCGAGAAAAGGGGGCGCUGGCGAGCCAACCCGGAACCUCCCGGCCCGCCUCCCGCCCCCGGCCCCGGCCCCGGCCCCAGCGCGCCUCCGGCACACACACCCGUACCCAGAAAGUUCAGUCAGGGGCGAGCCCGGCUCCGCGCCGCCGCGGCCCGGCCCCCGGCUCCCCGCCCCCACCGCGGCCCGGCCUGCUCGGCCCCAGCGCGCCGCCCGCCCCGCCCGCCGCAGCUCCUUCCCGUCCGCCCGCGGCACUGGGCGCCCCUCGCCCCUCGCCCCCCGCCCCCGGCGCUGACAAGGGCCCGGGCUGCCCUCCCGGCCGCGGCUCCCCUUCCGCUCCCCGCGCCGCAGCCUGCCGGCCGCCCAGACACCCCGCUUCACCUUCACCACCCCCGGCACUUCCCGAGUCCUGCCUCCCCUCGCCCGGCUCCCACUCUCUGCUGCAGCCGCUCCGCGCUUCCAUUAAAGAAUGCACCUACCCCGGAUUCACCUUCUUGGCUCUGCUGCGCUGCCCCCGAGGGGCUGAAACCUCGGUCUCCGCUGACCCCGCACUGGGCUGGUCGGCGGGCACUCGCUCCUUGGGGCGGGGGCCGCACCCCCGGCCUCCCCGCUGUGCCUCGGAGCUCACCUCUCGCCGGCGCCGCGAGCUGCAGCCUCCGCCCGCCUCGCGCUCCGGGACUCGUCUCCUGAGCUCUCGCAAGGCGCUGGAGCGCCUCCUUUCUCUCCCGGGGACUCCGCGUCUGUCCGCCGCUUCCCGCCCUCCCCACCCCCAAGCCCCAACUCCCCAGCGUUGCUGCGCCUCCGGGAUGCAACUCCCGUUUUCCGCGCACUCCGGCGGCGGUCCCCCCACACAAAAAAAGCCUCUCGGAGGCGCACGGCUCUGCCCGGGCUCGGCGCAGGAAGGGCAGUCGCGGCCGGGGGGUGGGGACGCGGCGCCCCCCGCCUGCCGCCCGCCCCCCGCCCGCCCUCGCGGCCCCGGGGGAAGGCGCGGUUACCGGCUCGGGUCGGUCACGCCGUCAGGUGCCGGCUGCCGUCGGCGCUGA
rnacentral:lncRNA from 13 species